rnacentral:rRNA from 1 species
GACGACAGCUGGCGGCGUGCCUAAUACAUGCAAGUAGGACGCAGUUGCGAACGGGUGAGUAACGCGUCGGUAACUGCCUAUUAGAGGGGGGUAACUAAUGGAAACGAUAGCUAAUACCGCAUACUAGUAGAUGGACCUGCGUUGUAUUAGCUAGUAGGUCGGGUAAUGGCCUACCUAGGGGACGAUACAUAGCCGGCCUGAGAGGGUGAUCGGCGACACUGGGACUUGGACACGGCCCAGACUCCUACGGGAGGCAGCAGUAGGGAAUCUUCGGCAAUUGGGGGAACCCUGACCGAGCAAGGCCGCGUGAGUGAAGAAGGUUUUCGGAUCGUAAGGCUCGGUUGUUAAGGAAGCGGUACUUAACCAGAAAGGGACGGCUAACUACGUGCCAGCAGCCGCGGUAAUAC